AAUGAACGCUGGCGGCAGGCCUAAAACAUGCAAGUCGAACGCCCUAGCAAUAGGGAGUGGCGCACGGGUGAGUAACAUGUGGGAAUAUGCCUUUUGGUACGGAACAACGUUUGGAAACGAACGCUAAUACCGUUUGGUCCCUCCGGGGUAAAGAUUUAUCGCCACAAGAUUAGCCCGCACUAGAUUAGCUAGUUGGUAAGGUAAUGGCUUACCAAGGCGACGAUCUAUAGCUGUUCUGAGAGGAAGAUCAGCCACACUGGGACUGAGACACGGCCCAGACUCCUACGGGAGGCAGCAGUUAGGAAUAUUGGACAAUGGGCGCAAGCCUGAUCCAGCCAUGCCGCGUGAGUGAUGAAGGCCUUCGGGUUGUAAAGCUCUUUAGCCGACGAAUAUAAUGACUGUAGUCGGAGAAUAAGCCCCGGCUAACUUCGUGCCAGCAGCCGCGGUAACAC
rnacentral:rRNA from 1 species